UUUACCGUUACUACUCUCUUUCCUUUUAUAAACUCCCCGUUCUUCGCUAUCGUGACCGAAGAGACGAAAUAAAUUUCAUUCAUUCAUAACAACUGUUGUUACCUCGCUACUCGCAGAUAAAGAAGUUUUUUGCUGUUUACAUGUUUUUUUUUACAUGGCAACUAGUUAUAAUUCAUACACUACGUUUUUGUACAUUAACUAGUUGUGUGUUGCAUACGUGUAUGUCACAGAUAGACUGUGUUGUCGAUGGAGUCCGAAAUGAAGCGGUACCAAAGAGAGAGGUCACAAAGAGAGAAAGACUCAAAUGGGCUUUCCGGAUGUUGGGGUUUCUCAGCACCAUCAGAUUUUUCCGCUCCGUCACCACCGGAGGCGCCACUUGCUUCAGUUCCCAUUUGUGACGUCAUGUUCUUGUCGGUUGCUGAAAUAUUUUUACGAAAACUUGUUUUAUCUUGCAUGAUAGUUUUCAAGAGAAUUAUAAAUGUCAAGAUACUGUCUUUUUUAAAGUAAAACCAUUUCCAAUGCUCCUUCUGCCAUCAUCAAUGCUUUUAAUCUUUCCUCUUCAAUCCUCCGUGCGUUAUCAUCUUCCGCUGCCACGGCGAUGGCUCUCGUCAUGUCCAUGACUCCCUGACACUCGAGCCGGUUGCCGUCGAGAAAAAACUCUCGGAUCGUGGAGUGGAACGCAACCUCACCGAGAGGAAGUCCACUUCUCCUUCGUCCCCAAACUCAUUGUAAUCAAGAUUGACCUCCGUGAGACUACUGAACCGGAACGACCUUGCUAAUCGCUCAACCGAAUAA